rnacentral:lncRNA from 1 species
GCUGGUUCAGGAUCCACACUUUGAGAACCACUGCACUGUUACUGUCUUCCAUGGGCUACGUGCCUACCUCAUAGUAGGUCUUUCACGAAUGUUUGUUGGAAAGAUAAAUUGGAUAACUGUGGCAGAAGGAAAGCUGGUGGUUUCUCUGUGCUGGAUGCUGGGGACGUUGCCAUGACAAGACAAACCACCUCUGUCCUCAUGGAGCCUAUGCUCAGGGAGAAAUACAAAACUUCCAGCAAGGAAAUGAGGACCUCAGCUCUAACCAACCACAAGGAAUUGAGUUCUGCCAACAGCCUGGAUGAGCUUGGAAGCAGACACCUCCCCUGAACUUCCAGCGAUUACCCAGCAAGGCAAGCACUGUUGGGUGCUGGUCCUCACAAAGUCAGGAGUGCACGCAGGAUGCUGACAUAGGUGGGCUGCCCAUGAAGAGUCCGUGGACGUGACAGUGAGCCCUGAAAAUUAUGGGCACAGUUUGAGUCACCGCCUUUUUCCACGGAGAGGAUCUUCAGCAUUUGAGAGCUCUUCAGACUCCACUGUAUCAGCUGGGAUCUUGGAUGCAAAUGAGAGGAGCCGAACUGAGCUCUCUGACCCACACCUUCUGUCUCAGCCACACCUCGGAGGGGUCCUGAGAGGCCUCAGGACAGCCGGAGGCAGGACUGCAGCACUUCAGUCUCUGUGGGUUUCCGUGGGUCAGCUUCAUUCUCUCCAGCCACCGGCAGCUGCAGACUCAUCCUGACAGCUGCCUCCCUCCCAGGUGGAUGCAGGUGUGAAAAUCUCAGGGAGAGACACUCACUGGCCCAGCUGGCGUCAAUGCUGCUGGCGUGGCUCAGGUUCCCUGGGAGCAGAGCCUGUGAAGAGGCUGUGUGCUCAAGUCACUUAUGAUGAAAGUGCCCUCAGGAGAAAGGGAAGGGGAAAGCAGGACGGGGACAGCGAAAGAAGCCAAGCAAAGGCACGAUUUCAG